AUUCCAAAAUCAAUAAUAUGACCAUUCCAAAAUCUCUAGACCGAGUUAGUUGACCCACUUUUCCAACGAACCAACAGGCGCAACAACCUGUGUACGCGCCAAUCAUCUUCAACUAUCUUACCGCUUUCGCAAUCUUUUCCCCCAAAUUCAUCGUCUUUGCAACUUGCACAUGUGAAUCCCUCAAUGCAAUUGCGUUAUUCUGACUCAAUCUCUCAAUUCCCCAACAAUUAUCCCCCAAAAUCAACAAAUUUGCAAUGAUAACGCCUUCAUCGCUCUUAAACGGCGAGAGAACUGUCGUUUUGCUGUUUGUUUCGACCAUUUUGUACUCUGUUACCAAUGUAUUGGUUGUUUAUGAAGCCCUAGGGUUCUCUUUGCUUGCUGUUUUCGCUUUAUUCGUCGAGAUCUCAGUCGAAUCGUACGGUUCCACCAACCCAUUCAAAACCAGGCCAGGAGCUUCAUCAGGGAUAUUUUUGGGGGCAGUUACCCUUCCGGGUCUUGCAGUUUCGAGGCUCAUACAGUUAUCAAGAGCUUUGUCGGUAAAUGAAGUAAGAACUGAAGAUGUUGAAUUUCUACGCUUGCAAUAUUGGGCCACUUCUACUAGUUGCCUCUGCGUGCUGGUUUUCCUCUGCUUCAUUUUUCGUCAUGAUUCCAACAAGCCAAAAUCAGCGUCUUUUAAUAGUGGUUGGCUCACAAAGUUUUGUAUUAGUUCCAUAGCUCUGUUUGCAGCAUUGUGUUGCUUAUCUUUUGCUGCAAAGUCGUCUAGUGGACGUUAUAUGGCAUUGACCUUGUUUUGGAUUGUUUUUCACGGAUUGGCUGCUGUAAAAUUCAUUCAGCAUGUUCUCAACACGUUUCCAGCAUGUGCUUCAUUCGGGGAAGCACUUUUGGUUACAACGGGAUUUGUUGUUUAUUUCGGAGACAUGUUUGCGUUCACGAUAGCAAAGAUUAGCAAGCACCUUGUGUCAUACGGGUUACGUUCCAUCACAUACGGAGCGAAAGGAAGCGAGAUAAGCACUAUAAUUCAGGGAAUGCUUCUUGGCCUGCUUCUUUCUCCAAUGUUGUUCAAAUUCAUCCUUAAAAAAUCAGAAUUUUAUAUGAUCUCAACAAAUUCUGAAGCUAGAGGACAUCACGAGCGUAAACGAUCUAUUAUAUUUUAUGGAUCUCUAGCAUUUAUUUUAUUAGGAAUUGUUCCGUUGUGGAUGCAGUUUGUCCAAGAUUUUCCCGUUCACCCCUUUUUAUGGGUGUUAAAUUUUGUUUUUUCUGAACCACACAAAAGGCUAUCCUUAUGUGCGUAUUGGGUGGCGGUUAUAUUUGUAUCGGUGCUGCGGUUUUACAAUAUUUCCAAGAACAGUAAGAUUGAGCGAAUUCUUCUCAGAAAAUAUUACCAUCUGGUGGCAGUGUUAAUGUUUGUACCGGCACUUAUCUUCCAGCCAGCGUUUCUGAACUUGGCUUUCGGUGCAGCUUUGGGGGUCUUCUUAGUGCUUGAAAUCAUUCGGGUAUGGAGAAUUUGGCCUCUGGGAUCAAUUGUGCAUCAGUUUAUGAACGCCUUCACCGAUCAUCGCGACUCUGAUCUUCUUAUAGUCAGCCAUUUUUCACUUCUUUUAGGAUGCGCAUUGCCUAUCUGGAUGUCUUCUGGAUUCAACGAUCGGCCUUUAGCUCCUUUUGCUGGAAUUCUCAGCCUUGGUAUCGGAGAUACCAUGGCAUCUAUGGUUGGAUACAAGUAUGGUGUUCUUCGGUGGAGUAAAACUGGCAGUGAAAAAAACCGUUGAAGGCACCGCUGCUGGAAUAACAUCCGUCUUAGCUGCUUGCUCUGCUCUACUUCCACUUUUAGCUGCCACGGGGCACAUGUUCACUCAGCACUGGUUGUCUCUGUUGUUGGCGGUGACGGUGAGUGGUUUGCUGGAGGCGUACACCGCACAGCUUGAUAACGCCUUCAUACCCCUUGUCUUCUACAGCCUUCUAUGCCUGUAAAUACUAAAAAAAGUAAAAAUAUAGCGAAAGUAGAUAUAUCCCAAUUUGUAAUGAUAGAUCAUGGAUGAGUUUCAACCUGUUCGACCCAUUUGGUUGUUUCACAUUUUAGAUAAAAGUUAGUGUAACUAGUUUGGAAUAUAAUACAACCAAUAUUGACCCGAGGUGACAAGAUAGGCAAGUCGAACAAGUUGUGUAGCGGGUUAAAAGAUCUUUAACAUA